rnacentral:tRNA from 1 species
GGAGGUAUAGCUCAGUGGUGAGCAUUUAUCUAGCUUGUGCAAAACCAUGAGUUCAAUUCUCAAUGCCUCAA